rnacentral:rRNA from 1 species
AUUGAACGCUGGCGGCAGGCCUAACACAUGCAAGUCGAACGGUAACAGGAAGAAGCUUGCUUCUUUGCUGACGAGUGGCGGACGGGUGAGUAAUGUCUGGGAAACUGCCUGAUGGAGGGGGAUAACUACUGGAAACGGUAGCUAAUACCGCAUAAUGUCGCAAGACCAAAGAGGGGGACCUUCGGGCCUCUUGCCAUCGGAUGUGCCCAGAUGGGAUUAGCUAGUAGGUGGGGUAACGGCUCACCUAGGCGACGAUCCCUAGCUGGUCUGAGAGGAUGACCAGCCACACUGGAACUGAGACACGGUCCAGACUCCUACGGGAGGCAGCAGUGGGGAAUAUUGCACAAUGGGCGCAAGCCUGAUGCAGCUAUGCCGCGUGUAUGAAGAAGGCCUUCGGGUUGUAAAGUACUUUCAGCGGGGAGGAAGGGAGUAAAGUUAAUACCUUUGUUCAUUGACGUUACCCGCAGAAGAAGCACCGGCUAACUCCGUG